UACGGAGGGUGCAAGCGUUGUCCGGAAUCACUGGGCGUAAAGGGCGCGUAGGCGGCUCAUGAAGGCUGUGGUGAAAGUCCGGGGCUCAACCUCGGAUCGGCCGUGGCGACUCGUGGGCUGGAGCACUGUAGAGGCAGGUGGAAUUCCGGGUGUAGCGGUGGAAUGCGUAGAGAUCCGGAAGAACACCAGUGGUGAAGGCGGCCUGCUGGGCAGUGGCUGACGCUGAGGCGCGACAGCGUGGGGAGCAAACAGG
rnacentral:rRNA from 1 species